AUUGAACGCUGGCGGCAGGCCUAACACAUGCAAGUCGAGCGAGCGGCGGACGGGUGAGUAAUGUCUGGGAAACUGCCUGAUGGAGGGGGAUAACUACUGGAAACGGGAGCUAAUACCGCAUACCAUCGGAUGUGCCCAGAUGGGAGUAGCUAGUAGGGGGGGUAAAGGCUCACCUAGGCGACGAUCCCUAGCGGGUCUGAGAGGAUGACCAGCCACACUGGAACUGAGACACGGUCCAGACUCCGACGUGAGGCAGCAGUGGGGAAUAUUGCACAAGGGGCGCAAGCCUGAGGCAGCCAUGCCGCGGGUAUGAAGAAGGCCUUCGGGUUGUAAAGUACUUUCAGCGGGGAGGCGUUACCCGCAGAAGAAGCACCGGCUAACUCCGUGCCAGCAGCCGCGGUAAUAC
rnacentral:rRNA from 1 species